ACAUGGGGCUGGAAAGCUCUGUGACUUGUGGGAGAUGCAGAGGAAAAAGCUAUAAAUUGCAGCACAGCUAAAUACAUUUCUUUUUCUUCGCUCUGUGUUUGUCAUGUUGUUUUUUUGUUUAGUUUUUUACCUGCAAUGUUGUGGAAAACCAGACAACCUACUUCUGCUCAUGAGUCUUCUGUAUCCUUUCACAAAAUCAUUUAGAACUGGAGACCAGAUGUACUGUAUAGAGCCGAUUCUACACGAAUUACUAAGAUCCACAUCCAAGCUUCCCCAGAGCUCUCUUUCGGUAAAAUGAAAUUUGAAGAAAAUACCGCCUGCUCCCGGUGACCGCAUUUCAUUUCAGACCGGCUCUCGCACAGGCAUAGAAUUGCUAUGCACAAAAAAGGAGACUGCAAACAGACAAAACAAAAAAGUAUAGUUUAACACCUGGCAGGGAAUGUGUUAAAGAGCUGACAUUUUCUCGAGACCAACUUUCUUUCAUUUGGACACACUCGAGCCAAGGAACAUAUUUUCAAUCCGCAUUUGAGCGAGGAGCUGUUAGCUGUAACAGGAAGGCUAUCAAAGAUCCUGAUUUCGGUUAUUUUAUUUGUCACCCAAUAUAAGUGUUACCUCUGAGCUAAAUUAAAACUCAGUAAUCGUAUUAAAUCACGGCAGAAACUGUGGGAAUGGAUCUAUGUGUCAGAUGUGUAACUGUAAACCAAUCAUGCUCUAGGCACCUUCUCCUACAAGACCUUAUUCCGAAGGCAUUUUCCUCCGACACGUAAUAGAAGCUCGCACAUUGUAUUUUAUUUUAUUAAAGUCACACCAAUACAGGACAUUAAUAUGAUUAAACAGUAGAAAUUCUCUUUAUUCCUUCCCUGGAUGCUUCUGCUGAGCAGAAAGUGUUAUUUUUAUUAUGCCGAGGUUGUGAAAUUAGGUCAAAUAUGAAUAGCGUAUGGUUUUUCCAUUAGAAAUCAGGCAGUUCUAAUUUAGUUAAUAUCCUACUCAUUUUUCUCCAUGCCGGAUAAUCUUUAUUACAUUCCAGGCAUACACUG